rnacentral:tRNA from 1 species
GCUCCAGUGACCUAAUGGAUAAGGCACUGGCCUCCUAAGCCAGGGAUUGUGGGUUUGGGUUCCACCUGGGUA